UACGUAGGGGGCAAGCGUUGCUCGGAAUCACUGGGCGUAAAGGGUGCGUAGGCGGGUCUUUAAGUCAGGGGUGAAAUCCUGGAGCUCAACUCCAGAACUGCCUUUGAUACUGAGGAUCUUGAGUCCGGGAGAGGUGAGUGGAACUGCGAGUGUAGAGGUGAAAUUCGUAGAUAUUCGCAAGAACACCAGUGGCGAAGGCGGCUCACUGGCCCGGUACUGACGCUGAGGCACGAAAGCGUGGGGAGCGAACAGG
rnacentral:rRNA from 1 species